rnacentral:rRNA from 1 species
GAUCUUGCUCUAAAUAGAUUAAUAAUUCAACAUCGAGGUCAUAAUCUUUUUCUUUUAUAAGAACUUUAAGAAAAAAUUGUGCUGUUAUCCCUACGGUAGCUUGAUUGAUUCCUAGAUUAAGGCUUGAAAUAGAAAAAUAAAAAAGAUUUAGUUUUUUACCGCCCCAGUUCAACAAAAGUAAAGUUCGAUAGGGUCUUGUCGUCCUUCUUUGUAAUUCAAGUCUUUUUACUUGAAAGAAAAGUUAAAAUAGUUUGGUUAAUAAAGAAAUUUAUAUGUCAAACCUUUCAUUCUAGCCUUCAAUUGAAAGGCAAAUGACUAUGCUACCUUAGCACAAGAAAAUUUGCGGCUAUUUAAUAAUCAUUGAGCAGGCCCUACUGAACAUAAUAUCAUUCAGAAAUGUUUUUGAUAAACAGACAAUAAAUAUAUAGGCCGAGUUCAUGAACCUGAAUAUUGAGAUUUUUAAUGGGGUGAAUUGACGAAAAUGGACCGGAUAAAUUUUACUAAUAAAAUCAUUGUAAAGAUUUUUAGGCAAGUUUCUUUUAAUAGAAUUCUCGAAAGAGAGUGGUAAGAAAGUUUAAAAACUGGGGGGACACUAUUAAUCCUAAAAUUUUAAAUAUUAAGAGAUGACAAAUUAUUAAAAAAGAUUAUCCCUUUUUAAAUUUUGGUACUAUUACCUUCAAAGAAAACCAGAUAUAAUAGAAUGCGAAUGGAAUUUCAUCUCUAUAUUCACUUUAGAAAACUUUAUGAAACAAGUUUGAUAAGUGAAAAUAGAUCAUUUCUAUUUCGGGAGCAUUCGUUAAAAAAGGGGGGUUGAUUCUCCCUGGAUACUAAAGGUACAUUGCUUUUCUAUCUAACAAUUGAAAAUUUUCCCUUUCGGUUAAAUAAUCACAAGAAAGGAAUAGAAAGGAGGAAAUAUUUAAUUUAAAUAAAUGUUUCUAGUAAGAAAU